UUAACGGUUCCAUCAGAGGGGUCAAUCGCUUUGUAUACGGCUGCUGUGCGUUAAUCCGGAUCCUGAAGAGAAAAGAGGAGUAUAUUCGUCGAGACCCGUAGCGGAAGGAACAGCUUGCGGCGAAAAUAAGAUCUGCCUCGAUGGAUUAUGCGUUGAAGAUUCGCUGGCGGACUUUGAUUAGGAGAAAAAAAUACAGAAGAGCCAGAGAAUUUGAACGAGUAUAAUAUCAACACUUUAAUGUAUAGCAAUGAACUGAUACACAAGUGAUUCGUUUUUUGCAUUUAUAAUAAACAACUAUUACAAUGACUAUCGUUCGUCAUAAAUACAUUAUUUAUAAGAGACGCAAAGCAAAUCGAAGUUUUAACAUCUCGCGCAAUGUGUACAUUACAGUUAAUUUAUUAAAUCGUAUAGAAUAGUUUUUUUGUUCUGUUUUUAUAUAAUCUUUAAAUCUUGCUUUAUUAUUUUUGUCCUCGUCUUUAGCUCCUCUACUUCAUCCGUCGUAUGUAUAUAGUCGCGAUCAUCAUGCUGCAUACACAAAUGUCCACCUGUGUACAUAUAUAGUGAGUGCGCAUACGUGUGAUCUCGUCGGUGCAGCUUCAUUCACGCUUUUUUAUUUUUCUCUGUUGGUUUCGUUACACAACGUAAUUUUACAACGACCGAUAAUAUCAUGAUAUUAUAAUAUACAUACAGAAUGAAUUCAAUAGACACAGAAAAAGUUAUAGCUUCGCGUGACGCGUCGGGCUUUGAUUAUUGCGUUGCUCGAGUUCGUCCUGCUGUGUCUGUCUCUCGGAUCAAGCGAGUCGUAACGAAAAUAGACGGCUACUAUUAUCGGAAAAGAUAAGUUAUUUUGCCGUCUCUUGAAAGAAUACGUUGAGCGGCUUAUUUUUAUGUAUAUUGGAGCGCUAUACAGUUCAAUGUAUCGCUUUUGAAAUUAAUAGCUCUUGUUUAUCGUAUAUCACUUAAAAAAUGUAAUCUUAUAUCAAAGAAUCUCAUUUGGUAGAAGAAUAAUUAAAUACAACGAACAACAUGCAAUUCAAACGCUACACCUAUGUGGUUUUGAAUAUAUCGAUAUUAUUACGCGACUUCAGGUACAUUAUUACUCAUAAGAAAUGAAUAUCAUGGUUUUGCGCGAAGGAAGCUUAUAAAUUGUUAAACCAUAUUAUCUCAUAAAAAUCAUCGAUCGUACCAGUUUAUCAGUUCUCUCUCUUUCUUUCUAUAACUCAGGAUUUCGCUUAUAUUCAGAUCGAGACACACGACACAGGCAAAAUCCGACGAUUUCAUCGCUCGGAAACCAUCACGCGUAACUUGAAAAAUAAACGCUGGAUACACCGAUCGAAGAGCGCGUUUCGUCGGAAUUUUUCGCGUAUUAAGAACUACUCAUGUAAAAAACGCUUAAUUGUUUAUUUUUUAAUUCUCCUACAGAGCACGAUUAACGAAAGAUUCUCGACGAAACGCGUUUUUCGCUCGUGACUCGAGGACACCGACGACUUUGAGCAAAGAGAAGCGUUAUAAUUCGAAAAGUUUUGAGUAUUGGGUAUACAGACGAAGUAAUUUGUAAUAGUCGUUAAUAUAUGAUAAGAUUUAAAUUUUAGAUAUUUAAUAUGUCACAUUUUAAUCGAUCGAAGAUCUCUUUCUCGAUAAUAUAAGGCUAUCGCGGGAACUCCCCGACGGCGUAUUCUGCACCAUCGAACCUAUUACUUCUAGAUUUGUUUUCUUCAUAUUUUAGUAUAUUUCUGGAAUAUUAAUAUCGUUAUACGCACAGUUCGACUUACUGGACUGAAUUCUAUAAACCCUUUCUCUUAAUCUUUUGGCUUGUGUGAUAAUCGAGAAAUCUGAGAAACUCUGGGGAUUCGUCGGAACGUCAGUACAAUGCAGAACGAACUGAUUUAUCAACAAUCGAAGGAACGCACACACGUCUUAUGGCAAAUUGGACGGCAUAGUAGUCCACAUAAGCACGAGAGAGCGUAAAUUUAUAUAACUUUCUUUAAGUUUCGCUAGAUAGAUUUAUGUAGUUGAAGAUUUCGAAGAUUGUCUACUAUUACUCAACUAUCCUAAGUUUCCUAUAUUCGCCUAAAAAAUUGAGUAGAGUUAUAGGUUUAAAAUUGCAUCUAUUUAUUCAUAGGUACAUAUUCAUGGAGAGAACGAUUAUUUUAGUUUGAACGCUUGAAUGCGAAUGUACUUAUUAUACUGAAUCGAAAAUAGUAACGAUAAUUGAGUAAUUAGUUAUCGAUAGUUUCUCAAAUUUCUCGAAGUACGUGCCAUCUCAGCGAAUAACUUUGCGAUUCGUGCUAGUGUCUAGUUUAUUUAAUUUCUCACAUUUUUCGAAUCGGCAUCGAUUUUAUAAUUCGCCAAACCCUUUCGAAAAAACACAGCAUAUCAAACGGCUUAUCGUGUACAAUAUGUAAUAACACUUGAAAAUACAAACUUUUAUUAGAGUCUCUAUUGAGUGAAGGAGACAUGCACGAAUAACAUUUCUAUAUGGGAAAUUUGAAAAAAAGUUGAAGAAACUCACGUUCACUACCUUUCAGUACCGAAUUGCGCGUUUUUACAUCGUUUAGAAUCUCGUGUUUAUUUGAUUUGCUUCUUUUGUUCUGUUUACUCUUAUGCUGCGCACUUGAGAAGCCGAAAUUAUUGUCUCAACAGGAAAAAAGAGAUAGGUUCUUUCAAAACGAAAUCUGGAAAAGCGUUCGAGAAGAAUAUUACAGAGAAAACUUUUACGGCGAAAAUUAAACCUUUUGAAUCGGUGCCUUGAUGAUCGAAUUUUCAUUCUGUGAGAGAACACGUAAUGCUUCGAAUUGAUAAGCGCUGCAACGAGAGAAAAAGCCCGAAUGAGAGGAUCCACUUAAGCCUCCUUGCCAACGCCAUUACUCCUCGUUUGUUCCUUCUUUUUAACGCGGUUAUUCCGACUCGGCAAGUUGCCAGGGGUGUUUGAGUCGCGAUAAUAGGAGAUUCGACGAAGACAAAGGAAAUUGCCGGCUGGAAUAUCGGUUUGUUCGACGAUUCUAUAAUUUGUUUUUUAUUUAUAAUUGUCGGAGAAAUAGCCGAUUUUUGGGAUAGAUUGACGUCGAAUGAAUAGGCGAUUCGUCGAUAUUUUAGCAACGGUUAGAAAUGCAAUUUCCCAAGCGACGUGGAUUAUAAUUGCCGGGAACGACAGACAAUUGGCUAAUUUGGAUCCGUUAUGUUAUACUGUGGGUCGAGAACAGAAUAUAUUCGGGAUCUGAAUUUCUUCGACUCGUCGGUUUUCCUGACUGAAUAUAAUGCAAUUUGUAUACACCGGGUAUAAUUGCCUUUCUUUUUCGGGCUCGAUUUUAUGAGGAAACGUUUCUUUUACUCGUUUUGCAUAAUAGGUGUAAAAUAAUGCUUUAGUAUUAGUGCUUGUAAUUUUCAAAAGAACGACAGCUGUAUUUAACUCUAAUAUAGAAUAUAUUAUAAUACGUUUUGAUAUACUUAUUUGGUAUAUAAUAAGUAAAUGUUUCAAGACUUUAGUAUAUAUGUAUUUAUAUAUGCGGUUAUCUUUUAGAAAUUUAGUUGCCUUUAUAUAUGUAAGAUAGAAAAAGUGUUAAAAAUACUCGUCAAGAUAAUAUCUCUUAUAGCUUUCUUCACUUAUAUUCGCAUCGUAUCUUUACAACAACAACAACAUUAACAGUAAAAAUGUAACUUUCAAAAAAUCAUCAAAGCAUUGUACCAUAUAUUUCAUCGAUUCUCUAGACUUUAUUUUUUAUAUAAUUAAAGCAAAUUACCAUCUACGUUACAAAUAAUAUUUACUCUUCUUUCGCAAUAAGAAACGUACAUCGACUAAGGUCGUUAAAGGAGGGCUGAGUAUGCAGCGGCGUAUCGUAAAUUUCUUUCAAUCCUGGAGCGCAAUAUCGCGUUUACUGCCGUUCGCCUUCGAGUUCGAGCUUUUUCCCCCUCGUCCCGGCCAUUCCUUUAUCAUAAUGUAAUUAAACGAUCGCAAAGUAAUGACUACGUUCUCGAUUCGAUCCUACGAUUUACGUAAACAAAAUUUUAAUUCCGACGCACCGCGCAUAACACAAACGACAUUUGAUUCUCAACAAAAGUGAUAACAGAAGCUUUCGCGCGUAAGGGUUGUGGUGACAGCCACCACACGAACACCUAUAUAGAUACUCGAGGCGAAAGAGAGAGAACCCGGGGGUUUAGUCUCGCGCACGUAGGCACGUCACGAACUGUACGUUCCGUACGAGCGCACGUGUAUUAUUCUCGCCGCGAGAAUUAAUUGACAGGCGCGUCGACGCGCGGCAAACGAUAUGCGUUUACUACCUGUACGCUUCGUGCGUGUAUAUUAUGCGAACGUUUUUCGACCUAGGAAUUUUCUCUUUUCGGUGCGGCGGCAGGUUACAUUAUUUGUUCGUUAAACGCCGGAAAAGAGAAAUGCAAGGGUUGUUCUAGACGAAGAAAUUUCGGUUUUCGUCGCAAUUAGUUGGAAUUCGUGCUUGCGGUACACCUUGUGUCGAUCUAGAACAGACGUUGCAUUUCCAGAUUUGAUAGAGUCGUUUUAACGAUCGGGAAAUCAGAGCAUGCCAAUGAAAGUUCAAUCGUCUCUUUGCUAUGACUUUCCGUUGACGAUACUAUAGCAUAUGUAUUUAUCUAUAUACGUUAUAAUUUAUUGCUUUAAAGUUAACGUCGGAGGUAUAGAAAGUGAAGUAUCUCAGUACGUGUAUAUGUUCGCUUUUUUAUCAUCCUUAUCAUAGAUAUUUUUAUAGAAAGAAGAAAGAUCUGUUUUAUACACUAAAACCGUAUAAAGGCGAAGACGAUUUCGACAGUUAGUUAAUUAUUUAUUGAUUCUUCAUCUUAUGAGAAACAAUUUUUUCUUUUAUUAUUCUUUAUACAAAUAAAACAUCUUUUAUUUCUGACAAUUACAUGUUGCUUAAUGAGAUUCUCUCUGAUGCUUUUGUAAUAUUAUUCGUAUAAGUUUGAAGUAUAUUUCAGUUUAUUUUAUAAAACACAUAUAUUACUUUAAUGAUCUUGAUCGAAAGCGUCUACAUUGCAACCUCUAUCGUUAUUUCUACGGUUAAGAGACACGUUAAUAGUUUUGAGUAAGAGAAAUGUCGUUACGAAGAGAGACAAGAGGGUCAAAGCACUUGUUCGUUACGAUAAUCAAAUUCUUUUAUACAAUAUAUAAUUCGUUUAUACUUUUAAUCCUUUGUUUUUCAUUUUUUCUCCUUAAUAAUCAAUUAUACUCGUAAUAUUUUUAGCUUUAAAAUCCUUUAUCUUUAAUAUUAAUGAGGUUAUUCGCUCUUUCUUUCGUCAUAUCGAUAUAACACAUUAUUUUACUUUUUUUAUACGCUCGAAUAUAUAUAUAAUAUAAUAUAUUAUAUAUAAUAUAAUAAUGUAACUAUCGUAGUUUGUAUUCUUUUUUCUUUUAUUUCAUCUGACUUAAGCUAGUAAUGAGCACAAGACGAACAGAUGUACAUCUUAGGAAAUACAGUGGAGUAAUAAUUAAAUCUAUAACGCCACUUUCGAAAUAGAAAUGGAAAAUCGUCGGACCGUCGGAUAAUAUGUCGUAUAGCGCCCCUACGUUUUCUUUGUUAGUUUCUUUAUUUUUUCGACGGACCUACGAUUCAUCAACAAGAUGUUAUCAAUUUUAUUUUUCAUUUGCUUAGUAAUUGUUCGUUUAUUCAUUUAUUUAAAGUCUCUUUCAAAAAAAAAGAAAAUUAUCUCCUCUUCUAUAAUGAAUCGCAUAUCGUAUAUAAUAUCUUCUUUUGUCGACAGUGUAAAGUGCAAACGACAGAUUACGUGCUACAGCUUUUUCCAUCAUCAUUUUGUCUUUUUUUUUGCAUUUUCGCUUUUCGUUUCGUAAAAUCGAGAAAUAUACCGCGGAGUUUUGUUGAACUUUCUCGCUCUCCGUCCUGGACAAAAAACUACCGGGGGAUGUCACAGUAUACAAUAUAAAUAUAGCGCUGCAGGUGACCGGAUAACGAGAAAGAAACAAAAAACGGGGAAUAUAACGCGGAGAGAUGAAUACAAGACGAAAAAACGAUUUACCGAGCUUCACGGUCUCGCGACGCACUAUACACGCCUACUAUUAUUACGUCCGUGUAUCACUUGCAAAAUAACGGAGCGGGCAGGAAAGAAGCACUUACAAAGCGUAAACGUACGCGACGACGCUUUCUUUCCUUCCUUACAAUGAACGCCAUCGUGUUUUUCUUCCAAUACAAUUUUUUUCUCCUUCUUUCGACCUCGUGACAGUGAUAUAGUGAAAAUUCGUAGGUAUUGAGCAUUUAUGAACAAUUUUCAUUCGCAUAGUGUAUAAUUUUCUUCGAAUAAUAUCAUCGUUUAUCUUCACUACACACAGCCAGGGCGAAAGAAAGAGUGACAAUCUCGUUUAGCUCAUUAUUCAACGCGACGCCGAGUCACGACUUACAGUACAUUUACACGCGUCUCUCUCUCGCGAUCGAUCGUAUCAUAUAAUUCAUUUCAUUUACACUCGCCACGCGAGGAGCGACGCAGAACGACAAGACGAUGACGACAAUACAAAGUCGGCAAGAUAGAGAUUUGUAUAUAUGUGUAUAUAUAUAUAUAUAUAUAUAUAUAUAUAUAUAUAUAUAUAUUCUCACUUAUAAAUAUUUAAAGUGUAAGAGAGAGAAGAGCAUAAAAAGUGCGAUGAAUAAUUGUGCGCGAAAGAGAGACUCGGCGUCGCGCAAGCGCGGCGCACGUACGUCCUUCGG